GGGAGGGAAUGAUUUAUGAAGAUCAUGGAAAGAGACUGUGUUCGACCGAAUUUAUUAUGCUUCUUCAUUGCUAGAAUCCCCAGAUAAAAUCCUCACCGGCUUUACAAUCUCUACGACACUAAGGCACUGCAUGAAGCUGCAAUGCGUAAUUUCCAGUAGCAGGCACCCUUGAAGUGACUGCUGGUUCAAUGCCGAUUGCCGAGCUAUUUAGACAGUCAUUUUUCUAUGAUGGCAUGAGCCGACAGUAGAUAUUGUUCAUCUCCUCUACUGAUGAAACCAUUCAGUUUAACUAACGUUAAUCUGGUUAGCCAACGGAAAUUCUAUUAGGACAAUGAAAGAUGACCUUUCUGCUUCUCUAAGGUACUGUACAGUUCCAUUCAUAAUCUUCACAAGCUUCUGGCUGAUGUAUAGGCCAAGGCCUUCUCUUGAAACUCCCUGGCGGUGGUGAAACAUCUCAUGCAUUAAAUCUUCUGGAAUUCCUGGGACUGGGAGAUACAAAAUUCAAGAUGAACAAUGUGCAUCUUCUUCCCUAUACGUUCCUUUCUUGGAAUUACCCUGAAUGCAAUUGAUGAACCCUCAAAUGCAGGGGUAAAGAUGAGUGCAUUUGUCAUAAAAUCUGAAAGGACUUGCUGAAGCCUCAAGUUAUCUCCAUAUAAGUGCAUGGAUGACAGUUCUGAUGGUAAAUCACGAAU
rnacentral:misc_RNA from 1 species